rnacentral:ncRNA from 1 species
CGUGGACGUGUUGUAUUUUGUGGGUCAAAAGCCUAUGAAGCAACGGCGGCACGCGGACACAGACUAAAAAAUAACUUUCACGAUUAUGAAAAUAAACAUGCAAAGUUGUCGCCAAGAAUUGAUGAUAGAACCGUAAUGCUCAACGGGUAACCGAAUUGAGCCAGUCCAAGACUCGCAAGGUUGAGGGUUGUUGUGGGAAAGUCGCACGUUUGGGGUCGAACCCUUAACUGCUCGCAAGGCAGGCGGUAGAUAGAACCAUGAGUAAUCAAUUCUUAUAGUGGAAAUGCCACCACUCAAAACAAGGCCGGUUCGGUUGAUUCGUCCAUGAGGACGAGGAUAAGGGUAGAACGUCUUACUAGCACUAGGACGAUAAUGACCCGAAAGGCAACCUUCAAAUGCUUUAAUCUCAAGCA